AACAAACAGCAAACAUUGCACUGCACGUCAACACACCACCAGUAUAGCUGCUGGCCGUGCCAAGGCAGCUAACUUGCACCAUUUUACUUUCAUUUUAGUUGAUAUUUUUUAGUUUAUCUACUUUAAGCGGAUCUGCGGUAGUCUGCUCCAUCUACAACAAUUAAUCGAUUGACGAUUCUACAGAAAUUACUUCACCAUACAGAUGCAUAACACCAAAAACGUCUACGGUGCUUGAAUACAGAAGUGAAAACAACAAAUUGUACUUUUAUUUUUGACUUAAAAUCCAGCAGACAACUUCGGCCAUUUUUAUUUUCAAUUUAAAUUCCUCCUUCCUUGGCCGAAGUCCAGAUUCGCAACUUCCAAUUACAAAUUGAUUUAUAAUUUAUCGUUCAACCGUAUUUUACAAUCACCAUGCAAGUAUUGUAUUACAUCAACAAAGCUGCCUAUAGCUGUGCUUUAUAUUUUUCUUUCAACCAACAAAAUGCAGAAACUGGGAAAGAAUUAAAACUCCACAGAAACAUGAAAUGAUCGCACUCCACAAAGUACGUUUAAAUGGAUUUUGAUCAUCCCAUGCUGUGCACUCACUCAAUGCCGCCUGCAGCAUUCGCAGAAGACUUCAAACCACUGAAUGCAGGCUUUCCCACAGAGCAAAUUUAGCACAUUAUUAUUUAAUUUAUAAAAUUUCCAUUUAUAUGUACUUUUGCUCUACCAAUAAAUAUUCCACUUAUUUAAA